rnacentral:tRNA from 1 species
GCCUGGCUGGCUCAGUGGGUAGAGCCUAUAACUCUUGAUCUUAGGGCCAUGAGUUCAAGACCCAUGUUGGGUG